CUUCUUGCCGCCGUCGAGCCGAACAACACUCCCGCUUUAAUCCUAUCCCAAAUCAGCAAUGGCCGCUAGCUGAGAAGCAAGCCAGAUGCGAGGGCGUCAUGCUUGGGAGGUUGGCUGGGGCUGUACGGGGGGACAUCGUCGCAUGCUCGACCCCGGCCGACGCGGAUGCUUUUUUUAUCGACGUCGGGCUCUUACUGUACAACCGCGCUGUGUGCCGGAACCGGCGAUGAGCCAUGCUCGAACCAGUCAUCCGUUGUGCUGGGACGCGCCCGGUGGCCUGCCAACCAUGGUGACUGCGCCCGGUGGCCGGCAAUGGAGACGGUGAUUUUUUUUUGCCGGAACCAUUGUUUUUGCUGGAUAGAGCUUCAAAAUUUGCUUCCACCGUGUUUUGUUUUUGCUGAAUUCAUUCAAGUUUUUUGCUACCACCAUUCUUUGUUUGCUGGAACCGGGGCUCAUCUUUUACUAAUUUGCUACCACCGUGUUCUAUUUUUGCUGGAUUCAGCCAACUUUUUGCUACCAUCAUCCUUGUUUGCCGGAACCGGGGCUCAUUUUUUGCUUCCAUCAUUCCAUCUAAACACCACUUGGAAGUUGCUCAGAAUCAGAAUGCUAACAUCAUCAACAGGACAGCCGCACAUGCUUGUGUCCAUGUCCACCAACCCUAUCAAGCACAAGAACAAGCACAAACACAAGGAGACACAUCAGCGGGUGACCAAAAGGGAGCAGAGCCUAC
rnacentral:rRNA from 1 species